GUGGUCGCGGCGUCACCUGCACCUUGGUAGAGUGUCGUAUCCUCCUUCUUAUUAGGGAGGAAUAAUAACCGAGAAACCUUUUGCUUACUAAGUAUUCAUGGAUUAACAGAGAGGAAUUUCAGUCCACGCGCUUUCCAGACACUACGGCAUUGGAUAAAUCUGCAUUAGUUGCCAAGCUUCCAUUUCAGCCGCCAUGUGGGCAUACGUUUUUCUGGCAUGUUUAGUUGCAGGGAUUGUGGAGGCAACAUCCCUUAUUGCUUCGACAUAGACAAGAAGACGGGGAAGCAGUUGUGUUGUCCACUCGGGAAAAAACGAAAAUGGAGUGUGUGUGGAAUACCUUCCGAAGAAUUCCCUCAGGCAUAUGAAAGGCGUUGAGAGUAUCGAGCAGUUUAACGAAACGAAAGCCUAUGUCGUCUCGCCACCACAAGACAGUGAUGAGUCGUGUUGCUGUUUGGAGGAGAAGGAACGGAUGUUGCUGAAAACCGUGGUGGCAGAAGGGGGAGAAACCUAUGAAGUG